rnacentral:miRNA from 14 species
UGUGUAUGUGCAUGUGUGUAUGUACAUGUGUGUAUAUGAAGAAACAUAUACAUGCACACAUACACACACACAGGC